GGCAUGUCAUCUUCUCUUUGGGGAAUGUAAGGGUUGCGAUAACUAUAAUAGCUUUGUUUCUCUGCGAUUUCUUUUAACUCCAUUUCCGAAACUGCGUUAUAUAUUUUACUUUUCAUAACAGCUUGGUUAUAUUCUGAAAAUUUUUUUAACCGUUGCCGCAAUGCUCUUAAAAAUUUAUCUAUCUCAUCUUCUUUUUUGGUUUCGUUGUGAUUUAAUAAAUAUUUCAUUAAAGUUUGUGACGCUGAAUUUUUUUCAAUAUUAAGAUUUUUUUAUGAAAUUUUGGAUGCAACUGAAGAUGCAGAAGACUCAGGACGCGGCGAAAGUGGAGUAGUUUCCGCUUGUACUUCAUAACUGGAUCUACAUUUACUAAUUUAUCAUCGAGCUUCCGUUUAGGAGAAUCAACUAUUCGUUUGAUAGUAAUAGAUGUGUGCAAUGCAAUAAUAAAUAAAUUAAUGCCAA